rnacentral:rRNA from 1 species
UACGUAGGGGGCAAGCGUUGUCCGGAAUCAUUGGGCGUAAAGAGCUCGUAGGCGGCUCAGUAAGUCGGGUGUGAAACCCUCAGGCUCAACCUGGGGACGCCACCCGAUACUGCUGUGGCUAGAGUCCAGUAGGGGAGUGUGGAAUUCCCGGUGUAGCGGUGAAAUGCGCAGAGUAUCGGGAGGAACACCAGCGGCGAAGGCGGCACUCUGGGCUGGUACUGACGCUGAGGAGCGAAAGCGUGGGUAGCAAACAGG